CCUACUAUGCUGGGUUUCAGUUUUUCGUUGGACUAAAUAGUUGAACAUCCUUUUGUAAUUUUCGAAUUAUAAACUUUUGGAACUCAAAACAAGAAAGUUUUUGGUAACCAACUUGGGUUAUUCAAAUGUUAUCAAAAGGGAACCACAUUUCAAAAAAAACAUUUUUAAAUCUUAGACAUAAGGACAGCAUUUAAUUGAUUUGGUACCAAUUUUGGGUGUAAUGAGGGUGCUAAUCCUUUCUCAUGC
rnacentral:lncRNA from 1 species